CUUACUUUCCUUCUGACGGUAUAUUACUUGAGACAUGGGAACCCUCAAUAUGACAAUCAUGCUAUGUUUUCUGCUCCUCAUGCCACUCCACUUAGUUCCUGGUUCAGAGGCCAAGACGUGCAAAGAGCUCAGUGGGACAUAUACCGCUUCACGUUGUGAUCAGGCUGAAUGUGUUGUGGCCUGCCGCAAGGAGAGCUUUACCCAAGGGGAGUGUGAAGUUAUUGUCAAAACAAAAAAAAUUAUGGUACUUUGUUUUUG